GGACCCAGCAGAGAACAGCAGCGUUGACGUCACUAAGUUCCGCCCAUGCUCCAUGUCGGGCCCAGAGCUGAAGAUACCGAAGAGGAUUGUCGGAGAAUGACAGCAUGAAACGGGAUAAGAUGUUAAAGAACCUCCUGAGAUUAGCUUAUUGGACAUGGAUCAUUAAGAGGACGUCAGCUCCUUCCAUAAGGACAUUCAGCAUUCCGGAUGAACCAUUGUUAGAGUACAAAAUGGUCCUAGGGUUGAUCCAUCACUGCCGUCCUCCUAACCACAAAAGUCGGAGAAAAUUAGGUUCUGAUACUAAAGAAUAAAGUGGAAACUCCAGACUGCAAAUCACGGAAAUGGGCAAAGUCUG